rnacentral:rRNA from 1 species
UACGUAGGGGGCAAGCGUUAUCCGGAUUUACUGGGUGUAAAGGGAGCGUAGACGGUGAUGCAAGUCAGAAGUGAAAGCCCGGGGCUCAACUCCGGGACUGCUUUUGAAACUGCAGAGCUUGAGUGGAGUAGAGGUAGGCGGAAUUCCCGGUGUAGCGGUGAAAUGCGUAGAGAUCGGGAGGAACACCAGUGGCGAAGGCGGCCUACUGGGCUCUAACUGACGCUGAGGCACGAAAGCGUGGGUAGCAAACAGG